CCUCCAGGGGAAAAGCCCCUCCCUCCCCUUCCUGCAAGUGUGUGGGGGGGGGGUUGCUUUCCUCUGCUGCAAAUCCUGCAUUGUUCUCUUCCACGGGGAUCUGAGCAACGCAGACCCAAUCGGUGAACUCCAAUAAGGCUACAAUGGGAAGUCCUGCAACGAAAAGUGCAAUGUGCAAAUCACUCUCCAUUGUUUUUAUUGCCUGUGCCAUUGGGACUGACCUAGGUUUUGACCUGGCAGAUUUAGCAUGACCAACUUCUUGGUGAGUAGCAGACACAGCCUAAUUAUCCUAAAAGGAUUUCCUAAAGCGUUUCACUACGACAGACAGAACUUGGCAGAAGACCAAAGGGUUCCUUCCGAUCUCUCAGAGGCUUCCUGAGAGCACAGAUGGAUGACCAAGGCUCAGCUGCCCCUGGAACAGGAAGAGGCCAUGGCAACCAAACUGGGAGCAGUGGGGAAUUCUGGGAAAACUCUGUGCAGAAGAUCCUGGGUGAGGAGGACACCCUCUGCUCAGAGGUGCAGAGCC